rnacentral:rRNA from 1 species
AUGAGGGAGGAGGAGGAGCCCAGCUGGUUCGCGCGCUUCGACGAGGACCUGCCGGCGCCGGACGAGCUCAUGCCGCUCUCGCAGUCGCUCAUCACCCGCGAUCUCGCCGCCGCCUUCGACAUCCCCACGCACGGCGGGGGCGGCCCGCUCAGCGGCGGCGCCGACGGGGCCGGCGGCGCGGGCGGCCAGGAGAUGAACGGCGGCGCGUCGUCGGCCGCCGGCUCCAGCGGCGGCAACGGGGGCGGCAACGGGGAGGAGCCGGCCAGGACCCUCAAGCGGCCGCGCCUCGUGUGGACGCCGCAGCUGCACAAGCGCUUCGUCGACGCCGUGGCGCACCUCGGCAUCAAGAACGCCGUGCCCAAGACCAUAAUGCAGCUGAUGAGCGUGGACGGCCUCACGCGCGAGAACGUCGCGUCCCACCUCCAGAAGUACCGCCUCUACCUCAAGCGCAUGCAGGGGCUCGGCAACGGCGGCGGCGGCGGCGGGGGAGGCAGCCACUCCUCCGGCUCCGGGACCGACGCCGCCACCGAGCACCUCUUCGCCACCGGGCCCUCCCCGUUCCUCCCGCCCGGCCGCGGCCCGGCCGUCGCCGACCCCUACACCCCCUACGCCGCCAUGCCCGCCGCGCACCACCAUCACCACCACCCGCAGCAGAUCGGCCACUUCCACCACCCCGCCGCGCGCCCGCUCGGCCACUACGGCGCCGGGCCAGGCGGCGGCUUCGACCACGGGUUCCUGAGCCGCGCCGUGGCCAGCGGCGCGCCAGUCGGCCCGCCCGGGAUGCACCACCGCAUGGUCGGCGGCGGGGCCGCGAUGGGGAUGAUGGCGCCGUCGUCUUUCGCCGAGGAGCUGGAGCUCGGGUCCCGCGGCGGCGGAGGCGGCGGCGGGCGCCGGGAGCUGACGCUGUUCCCGACUUCCGGCGAGCACUGA